rnacentral:rRNA from 1 species
AAAUUGAAGAGUUUGAUCAUGGCUCAGAUUGAACGCUGGCGGCAGGCCUAACACAUGCAAGUCGAACGGUAACAGGAAGCAGCUUGCUGCUUUGCUGACGAGUGGCGGACGGGUGAGUAAUGUCUGGGAAACUGCCUGAUGGAGGGGGAUAACUACUGGAAACGGUGGCUAAUACCGCAUAACGUCGCAAGACCAAAGAGGGGGACCUUCGGGCCUCUUGCCAUCAGAUGUGCCCAGAUGGGAUUAGCUUGUUGGUGAGGUAACGGCUCACCAAGGCGACGAUCCCUAGC